rnacentral:rRNA from 1 species
AAAUUGAAGAGUUUGAUCAUGGCUCAGAUUGAACGCUGGCGGCAGGCCUAACACAUGCAAGUCGAACGGUAACAGAAAGCAGCUUGCUGCUUUGCUGACGAGUGGCGGACGGGUGAGUAAUGUCUGGGAAACUGCCUGAUGGAGGGGGAUAACUACUGGAAACGGUAGCUAAUACCGCAUAACGUCGCAAGACCAAAGAGGGGGGACCUUCGGGCCUCUUGCCAUCGGAUGUGCCCAGAUGGGAUUAGCUAGUAGGUGGGGUAACGGCUCACCUAGGCGACGAUCCCUAGCUGGUCUGAGAGGAUGACCAGCCACACUGGAACUGAGACACGGUCCAGACUCCUACGGGAGGCAGCAGUGGGGAAUAUUGCACAAUGGGCGCAAGCCUGAUGCAGCCAUGCCGCGUGUAUGAAGAAGGCCUUCGGGUUGUAAAGUACUUUCAGCGGGGAGGAAGGGAGUAAAGUUAAUACCUUUGCUCAUUGACGUUACCCGCAGAAGAAGCACCGGCUAACUCCGUGCCAGCAGCCGCGGUAAUACGGAGGGUGCAAGCGUUAAUCGGAAUUACUGGGCGUAAAGCGCACGCAGGCGGUUUGUUAAGUCAGAUGUGAAAUCCCCGGGCUCAACCUGGGAACUGCAUCUGAUACUGGCAAGCUUGAGUCUCGUAGAGGGGGGUAGAAUUCCAGGUGUAGCGGUGAAAUGCGUAGAGAUCUGGAGGAAUACCGGUGGCGAAGGCGGCCCCCUGGACGAAGACUGACGCUCAGGUGCGAAAGCGUGGGGAGCAAACAGGAUUAGAUACCCUGGUAGUCCACGCCGUAAACGAUGUCGACUUGGAGGUUGUGCCCUUGAGGCGUGGCUUCCGGAGCUAACGCGUUAAGUCGACCGCCUGGGGAGUACGGCCGCAAGGUUAAAACUCAAAUGAAUUGACGGGGGCCCGCACAAGCGGUGGAGCAUGUGGUUUAAUUCGAUGCAACGCGAAGAACCUUACCUGGUCUUGACAUCCACGGAAGUUUUCAGAGAUGAGAAUGUGCCUUCGGGAACCGUGAGACAGGUGCUGCAUGGCUGUCGUCAGCUCGUGUUGUGAAAUGUUGGGUUAAGUCCCGCAACGAGCGCAACCCUUAUCCUUUGUUGCCAGCGGUCCGGCCGGGAACUCAAAGGAGACUGCCAGUGAUAAACUGGAGGAAGGUGGGGAUGACGUCAAGUCAUCAUGGCCCUUACGACCAGGGCUACACACGUGCUACAAUGGCGCAUACAAAGAGAAGCGACCUCGCGAGAGCAAGCGGACCUCAUAAAGUGCGUCGUAGUCCGGAUUGGAGUCUGCAACUCGACUCCAUGAAGUCGGAAUCGCUAGUAAUCGUGGAUCAGAAUGCCACGGUGAAUACGUUCCCGGGCCUUGUACACACCGCCCGUCACACCAUGGGAGUGGGUUGCAAAAGAAGUAGGUAGCUUAACCUUCGGGAGGGCGCUUACCACUUUGUGAUUCAUGACUGGGGUGAAGUCGUAACAAGGUAACCGUAGGGGAACCUGCGGUUGGAUCACCUCCUUACCUUAAAGAAGC